GUUUGACCGGUUGAGAUUAUUUAAACCGAGGUUGAAUUCAGAUAAGUGCACUAUCAGAGUGCGAUCCGGUAAGCUGUUGGGGUUCAUUGUAAGGGAGGAAUCAAGGUUGAUCCUGCUAAAAAAAAAAAUGCCUGAACCGAGAAAGAAAAAGAGGUUCGUGGUUUCUUAGAAAGAUUGAACUACCUGUCAUGGUUCGCAUCUUAUCUAACAGCCACGUGCGAACCUAUAUUCAAGAUGUUGAAAAAAAAGGAUCAAACGGUCAGGUGAAAUAAUGAUUGCCAAGGGGCAUUGAAGAAUAAAAAAGAAUAAGUGCAGGAACCUCUGAUUCCGAUGUCUCUUGUGGAAGGAACAAUUGUUAAUCUGUGCUACAUUGAAGAAUAAAAAAGAAUAAGUGCAGGAACCUCUGAUUCCGAUGUCUCUUGUGGAAGGAACAA
rnacentral:lncRNA from 1 species